GGGGAUUUGGCUCAGUGGUAGAGCGCUUGCCUAGCAAGCGCAAGGCCCUGGGUUCGGUCCCCAGCUCCCCCA
rnacentral:tRNA from 1 species